rnacentral:lncRNA from 1 species
AAUCUGCCUGCCUCUGCCUCCGGAGUGCUGGGAUUAAAGGUGUGCGCCACCACACCCGGCUUUUUUGUUUUGUUUUUUUCAGCUCUGUUUCUUUACCUCGACAACUGAGCUUUAAGAGAGUGAGCAGAGCCAGGCAAAGAACCCAGUGCAAACACUUUGGCUUUGUUUUUGUCUCACCUCAGGAAACAUGGAACUUCCUACACAGCUCAGAAUCUGUGGUGAUCCUCCUGACACAGCAUCAUUGCCUUUUAAAGACAUUGUCCGGCCCAGUCUAAUUUGAGGUGGUUAUAUUGUGCUAUAAUGGGAGGACGUCCGGGAGAGGUGUGUGUGUGUGUGUGUGUAUCUGUGUGUGAUAGAAGAGAGCGUUGGAUCCCCUGGAACUGGAAUUAUAGACGGUCGUUAACUGUAUAGGUGCUGAUAACCCAACUUGGAUCUGCCAUCACUUUAGCCCCAAACUUUCUUGUAUUUUAAACAAACAGAGCCCCAAAUGAAUACACAGCUCA